UACGUAGGGGGGCAAGCGUUGUCCGGAAUUAUUGGGCGUAAAGAGCGUGUAGGCGGCCAGAUAAGUCCGCUGUGAAAUCUCGAGGCUCAACUUCGAGCUGUCGGUGGAAACUAUCUGGCUAGAGUCCGGAAGAGGAGAAUGGAAUUCCUGGUGUAGCGGUGAAAUGCGCAGAUAUCAGGAGGAACACCGGUGGCGAAGGCGGAUCUCUGGGGCCUUACCUGACGCUGAGGCGCGAAAGCUAGGGGAGCGAACAGG
rnacentral:rRNA from 1 species